rnacentral:rRNA from 1 species
UACAGAGGUCUCAAGCGUUGUUCGGAUUCAUUGGGCGUAAAGGGUGCGUAGGCGGCGAAGCAAGUCAGGUGUGAAAUCCCGGAGCUUAACUCCGGAACUGCACUUGAUACUGCUUUGCUCGAGGACUGGAGAGGAGAUCGGAAUUCACGGUGUAGCAGUGAAAUGCGUAGAUAUCGUGAGGAAGGCCAGUGGCGAAGGCGGAUCUCUGGACAGUUCCUGACGCUGAGGCACGAAGGCCAGGGGAGCAAACGGG